UCAGAGGCCUUCAGCUUCUGACCCCAUCAGCGGAGAUGCUAUCCCCUGCUCACUCUACCCCGUGGUGACCCUGUACCAGCCACCUGGUAAUGGCCUCCUGGCCAUUUCCUGAUGACACCACCGUGCUCUGACCACAGGCCUCUGCCCCCUCUCCUUGAGGGCAGGACCAGGUCUUUCUUUCCCGCUGUUCCCUGUGUCUGGAACACUACACAUACACAGGCUCCAUAAACACCGGCGUAUAAACAAAUGGUGAGGAGGUCAGAAUUCCCCAGGCCUGCACCCUCUCACGACGGGACGGUCGCAGGCCUGAGCUGCCGGACAGGACCAGAGUCAGAGCAAGGAAUCCAGCCGGCAGUGUGAGAGCAGAGCCCAGAGACCCCAAGUCCAACAACUCCCAAUGAAAGGACCCUCAAGGAUCAACCUCGCCACCAGUUCCCAUCAAAUUCCGCUAAUCCUGCCUUCAAGACUUUACGGAUGAUGCAUGGAUUUGUCUUACUUUCUGGGCUCUUAUGGAUGUAGGUCUUUGCAGGCACGGCAAGAAAGGUCUGACAGUUUGGGCCUCAGUCAUCUCCUCUAUCAACUGGAUAUAAGAAGAACACCAGGAAAAGGGAAAGCAGAGGUGGGGGUCACUGGCAGGCUCCUUGGCCCACCCACCCCUAAUCUGAGCUGUGGGGGGGCGGGUAGGGGUGGAUUCACCAGGCUCACCCUUGGAAAUGCUGUCACUUACCACACUGACUUCUCCAGCUGGGGCAUUUUGACUAUUGAUCUGAUAAAUAAACAGCCUGCUAGCUCGA